rnacentral:rRNA from 1 species
UACGUAGGUGGCAAGCGUUGUCCGGAUUUACUGGGCGUAAAGAGCGCGCAGGCGGUCGGAUUAGUCGCGUGUGAAAGCCCCCGGCUCAACUGGGGAGGGUCACGCGAUACUGUUCGACUCGAAGGCAGGAGAGGGAAGUGGAAUUCCCGGUGUAGUGGUGAAAUGCGUAGAUAUCGGGAGGAACACCAGUGGCGAAGGCGGCUCACUGGACCGGAACUGACGCUGAGGCGCGAAAGCGUGGGGAGCAAACAGG